UAGUUAGGGUGAGGUAGAGGAGAAAGAGGAAAGAGGAGACGCAAGGAGGUGCAGGUGGCAGUAGCUCUGUCAGUCCUAAGAAUGUUGAAAAUGGAAGGAAGAGGAGAGGAGGAAAGGAAUGGGUGGUAAAGGGGGCUUGCUCGAAGCUACAAGCAGAGCACACACUGCCUCCUCCUUUCCCAGCCCAGCCGGUGGGAGGGUCUUGAGCAGCUCUGUGCGAGUGAGGGAUCCAGACACAGACCAGCGGGCUGCAGCGUUUCCACAACCUGAGAGAACGCGGGGAAGAGGAGGAGAGGAGUGAAGACCAGAGGGGCUGGCGCCAGUGCGAGCAGUCGAUUCCCCCUACUGGCUGCACAAGAAUCUGUAAAGCCACGCUGACUGUCAUCAUCAGACACUUUGAUGAGAACGUUGCAAGACCCCGCUUGAGGAAAAAGAGCCAACGGCCACAGGAUCUCCAUUUUAAGAAGUGCAAACCUUCCAGAGGAGAGGAAGACUGCGCAAUCAAGAAGCAACAGGAUAAUCUUCAGCUUGUUCAAAAAGAGAGGGCCGUCUACGAGAUUACUGCUGCCUCCAAGGAAAAAGACCUGCGACGACUAUCAGUUGUCCAUCGGCCCCUUCCCACCUUCAAGUAAGAAGAUCGGUGUGCACUACAGCUUUGACUUUGCCCAGCAGCUUUGAUGCCAAAAGACCUGGUGUGGUCCUAGCUAGGACUCACAGCGACGUAGAGCCUGUUAGCUUUCAGCUGCUGUGUGACCCGGACGUUCUACCCCGUCGUCUGUGUUCCUGCCCUGCCUGCACCUGGACUGAUCACGGACAGGCAGACUUAUCUUUUUUCAAAGAUAAGGCCUUUCUGUUCCGAUGAAGCGAAGGACAUUAUGUGCCCAGCACCACAAAGCACAACACAGAAUAGCACACAGUAGAGGAUGAUGGUGUGGCACUGUGACAUUUGCGUUUUGGCAAUUUGUAAUGUGUAUAAAGUUGUAAAUAAAAAUCACAUUUGAGACAUGAUCAAAGUCAA